UACGGAGGAUGCAAGCGUUAUCCGGAAUGAUUGGGCGUAAAGCGUCCGCAGGUGGCUAUGUAAGUCUGCUGUUAAAGAGUGAGGCUCAACCUCAUAAGAGCAGUGGAAACUACAUAGCUAGAGUGCGUUCGGGGCAGAGGGAAUUCCUGGUGUAGCGGUGAAAUGCGUAGAGAUCAGGAAGAACACCGGUGGCGAAAGCGCUCUGCUAGGCCGCAACUGACACUCAUGGACGAAAGCUAGGGGAGCGAAUGGG
rnacentral:rRNA from 1 species